rnacentral:rRNA from 1 species
GAUCAUGGCUCAGGAUGAACGCUAGCUACAGGCUUAACACAUGCAAGUCGAGGGGCAGCAUGAACUUAGCUUGCUAAGUUUAAUGGCGACCGGCGCACGGGUGAGUAACACGUAUCCAACCUGCCGAUGACUCGGGGAUAGCCUUUCGAAAGAAAGAUUAAUACCCGAUGGCAUAGUUCUUCCGCAUGGUAGAACUAUUAAAGAAUUUCGGUCAUCGAUUGGGAUGCGUUCCAUUAGGUUG